AACGCUAGCUACAGGCUUAACACAUGCAAGUCGAGGGGCAUCGGGGGGUAGCAAUACCCUGCCGGCGACCGGCGAAUGGGUGAGUAACACGUAUCCAACCUGGCUACCACUGGGGAAUAGCCUCCCGAAAGGGAAAUUAACGCCCCAUGGCGUCCGUUUGCGGCAUCGCUUUCGGACUAAAGCUCGCGGUGGUGGAUGGGGAUGCGUCCGAUUAGGUAGAUGGCGGGGUAACGGCCCACCAUGCCGUCGAUCGGUAGGGGUUCUGAGAGGAAGGUCCCCCACACUGGAACUGAGACACGGUCCAGACUCCUACGGGAGGCAGCAGUGAGGAAUAUUGGUCAAUGGGCGGAAGCCUGAACCAGCCAAGUAGCGUGCAGGAUGACGGCCCUAUGGGUUGUAAACUGCUUUUAACCGGGAAUAAAGUGCGGGACUUGUCCCGCUUUGCAUGUACCGGUUGAAUAAGGACCGGCUAAUUCCGUGCCAGCAGCCGCGGUAAUACGGAAGGUCCGAGCGUUAUCCGGAUUUAUUGGGUUUAAAGGGAGCGUAGGCGGGCCUGCAAGUCAGCUGUGAAAACCUGCGGCUCAACCGUAGGCUUGCAGUUGAAACUGCCGGUCUUGAGUGCACAUAAGGAAGGUGGAAUUCGUGGUGUAGCGGUGAAAUGCAUAGAUAUCACGAAGAACUCCGAUUG
rnacentral:rRNA from 1 species